rnacentral:rRNA from 1 species
GACGAACCGUGCGAACGUUGUUCGGAAUCACUGGGCUUAAAGGGCGCGUAGGCGGGCUGCCAAGUCCGGAGGUGAAAUCCUCCCGCUCAACGGGAGAACGGCCUCGGAUACUGGCGGCCUGGAGGGGGGUAGGGGCGUGCGGAACUGUGGGUGGAGCGGUGAAAUGCGUUGAGAUCCACAGGAACUCCGGUGGCGAAGGCGGCACGCUGGACCCUUUCUGACGCUGAGGCGCGAAAGCCAGGGGAGCGAACGGG